UUCACAGGUCUCGGCUUUCUUCCUCUUCCCUCCUUCCUUUUGUUUGAGAUACCUUCACUGAAAGAGAACUUUAAAUUCUUUUUCAAAGACCCAGGAAACACACAAGGACACCAGGACAAGCCAACAUCAAGAAAUCAAACUCGACUGCCGACAUUUUAAGGACACCAGGUCUGCAUUCUUUGCUUCUGGUGUGUCUUGUCCAUCCAUUCAUCUCUUCCCUCUCCUAUUCUCCUUCCACGUAUCACGCCCUCCCUUAUUUGUCUAGUGUUUCCUUCCUUUCUUCCUUACACCCCCUCUUCUAUGAUGUCCACCCCUUUCCCUGCUCCUCAACCAAGAGGCAUUGACCACAGCCUGCCAACCUGUGGAGAGACUCGGUGCAGCGGCCAUGGUACCUGUGUGAGUCCUCUGGGUGGCGGUACUGGUUUCGUGUGCGACUGUAACCUGGGCUACCGGGGCCAAUCCUGCGAGGACACAGUCAAUGGGUCACUAAGUUUGCCGCUGACCCUGAGUGUGCUGGGCGUCAUCGUAGGGCUCCUGAUCCUGGCUUUCAUCGUCGCCAAGAUAAGACAGAAGCAAAAGAAGAAGCAAAGGAGAGAUCUGGCAGCAAAACAUGGCUACAACAUUGCUGUGUAAUGUGGACAAAUCUCCAUAAUAUCCAUUAUAUCUGAGGUCAACCGUGACAUUACGGCCAGUGACACUGGAAGUGAGCUUCCAUCAGCAUUCCUCUGCAGCAAGCUUACAGUGCAACUUAUUCAAGUGUGAACUAUGUAAAAAUGGACUCUACAGUUCUACUUUAAUGGCUGUCUUGUGGCUACUACUUUAUAACUGAUGCUGAAGCAUCCCAGGAACUCCAGUAGUGAACUGAGGUUUUUACACUUCAAGCAACACGGCUGAUGGAUCAGCCUGUUCUGCCCAACCGUGCCCUGAUUACAUUUGUAAUCUGCAUAUACUGUUAAAAUUCCUCACAUUUCACACUGCCAGACCAUUGUGAUUGUCCAUAGAGGGAAACUAAAACCUAUUUCUAUGUUGUCAUAGGCCAACAGUGACACAGCUUCACUGUUUUCACGUAUCAUAUUUGAUGAUGGGUGAAAUACAACUUUAAAUUAUAUCCCCAAACACAUGAUUGCAUUGAAAAACUACUCAACAGAGGGGGCUAAUGGCAGGUACAGUAUGUAUCACACCAACACCCACAAAGUGCUCUCAGUUACUUCAUUUAAACAGGUAACUAGUUGUUGCCUUGCCCUACAAAACAAGCCUUUUCUGAUCCGAUGCCCCUAUCAGCAGGACAAAAAUACGGUUUUAUGAUUUUGUUUCAUUUUGGUGAAUUAUCAUGGCUAUCUAGUGCUAAUGAACUACGAUUAAACAUGAACAAAUACUGUAACCAUAAAUCCCAACAGUAGAUGCAAGCAUUUUUUGUGUUGUGAGCAUACUUUUGAAAGUCCACACACUGACAGAAUUUCAUGAACUAAAUUAUCAUGUUGUUUGUAGUUGGAAUGCCCAGGAAGAAAUGUCAGGAUCUGUCAAUACUCCUAUUCAAAAUCUACUUCCUUAACCACAUCACUUGGGCCAAAGCUUGUUUCCAUAGAGAAGCUGAUCAUGUCUAACACUGGCGCCAUUUAGUAAAAUAAUGCAAAUGUUCACCUAUCAGUUACUGGCUUUGACAGGGUAGUGGCUUCCUUUAAAUACAGCGAAAGCAGAGAGAAUUGCUACAGUUGCAGUCAUAGUGAGCGUUUCUUACUGCCAUGUUUUUGUACGUAACGCUGAAUUCAUACAAGUGUUGAAAACCAGAAGUGGAAGAACUUCAGAUGUUUCUACAGUAAUCCAUUUCAUAGAGGUAAGCCACAUUUGAUUUGCCAUUGCUUCUGUUUUUAUCCAACUUUAAUCAUAAAGUAUGCACUUUAACCUGCUUUAUUUAUCUGCUUUAAGUCCUUCACUACAUUUUUGUUUUGUUUGUUUUAUGUGCUUUGCUUCAAGUUGAACAUUUGACUUUGAUGCACACAAAGCACCUAUAUGUCACUGCCAGUCUUUAUUUUUGCUUGCCAUCUGAGUGACAAGAAUAGAGGUCUUCACUUUAUUAUAAGUGGUAAUAUGCAAAUCGAGACUUGAGAUACUAGAGGACAGACACUGAAGUUUUAAUCACGGACAGAAUCAUUACAGAUGGUUUGUUCUCAAAAGUAGCCGUGUCUCUCAUUUUGAGUGAGAAAUUGGGCUUCUUUUCCUCACAAUUUUCCAAAUUGUAUACAUUUUGUAUGAAAAGUAAAGAAAUGGUGGUUUCAAACUGAACAUGUACAAGAUCAGGGCAGGCAAAUUCAUUUCACUAUGGGCUUUUAAAUCAGCCCCUGUGCUCUCUGAGUCUUGGCUUGCAGAUUGAUUACCACUCAAAUUUAUUUUGACAUAAAUAGACUUCUGUACCCAUGCAGAUGUCUCAAAAUCAAAGCAUAGCAUACAUGAUUUGGCCCUUACUGAGUGGUGAAGUCACUCUCUGGAAUAUGUAUUAAAUACUUUUUUAUAUUCUGUUGUUUCUUUUGUACUCUUCUGACUGAAUUACUAUGUUUUAUACUGUAUGUAUUUUUUGUAACUCCAUUGAUAACUACAAGCAUUAGCAAGAGGGAUAACUUUUACUAUGAUCUUUAUCUAUUUUGUGUUGCUGGAUUACACAAUAAUUCAUUUGAGGAUGAUUGUGGAAGAUGUUUUGACAACUGUAUGUGUAUUUCUAUGUAAUCAUGCACACACAAACACACACACACUGGUUUUCAGUUUCUCAUCUUUCUGAAGACAAUAAAAACUGUGUGUCCAGGUGUGUUGAAA